UAUACUUAUCCCUCUUCCUCUUCCUCUUCUUAACUUAUAAUAAAUUCUAAAACUUUAUAAUAUUUAUAUUAUAUAAGGAAUAUAAGAAUACUAAUCCUCUAUGAGGUAUACUCUUCUUUAAAGAGAUAGCUAAAGCUAUUAUUAUAGAGUAUAAUAUCUAUAUACUAAAUAAAACCUUAAGUUUAGUAUAUAUAUUACCUCUAAUUAAGAGCGCUUUAUUAUAGUAGUAUUAAAUAUAGCCCUUAAGAAUACUUCUAAAAAGGACCCUCUUUAUACUAUAAUUAAGGUAAUAAAUACCCCUUAUAGCUUUAAAGUAGAGGGUAUAUAUAUCUCUAGCUAUCUUAAGGAGUAGCCUUUCUUUAUAUAGGCUCUCUAUAAUACUAAGGUAGAUAUAGCUUACGCUUAAGUAUAAGCUUAGUAGGGAAAUAUUAGUAAGUAUACUUUAUGCUAACUAAUAGAGAGUGUGUUACUAAUAAUAGUAUAGUUAUAAAGGCGUUAGCUAGCCUAAUUAAAUAAGAAGAUUAAAAUAAUAGUGAUAACUUAAUAGUAGAUAGUAAAGUAGUAAUAGAGAUAGUGUUUAAUAGUAGCGUAAGUAAUAUAUAAGAGAGAAGUAUAUUAUUAUUAAAGUGAAGUUAAAGAUUAUAAGGUUAUUUAGUAGGAUAUAUAUAUAUAAGUAUAGCUAUAGUUAGGAGAGUUAUAAUUAUAUAACUAAAGGCUAUAUAUAUUAUUAGGAGGUGUAGAGAUAGGAGGUCUAUUGCUCUAAUUAGGUAAAAUUCACUAUAAACAGCUAGAGGCCUUAAGUAAGUUUAUACUUAAAUAUAUUAGUAUAAAAUAAUAAAAUAAGAUAUAUAGUUCUAUUUUAUUAGUUUCUAAGACUAUUAUAAUACUUAAUAGGGAUAAUUAAAAGUAUUAGUAUUUAAUUAUUAGAAGUAAAAUUUUUAGAUUUAUUAAAAACUAACUACUAUUAAAGUUUUACUAAGGAUAUAUUUAUUUAUUAAGAAUAAAAGUUAAGAUAUUAAAAAUAAUUAAAUAUUAUUAUAAUUUUAACUAUAAACUAUAUUAACUAAGUAUUAAAUAAUAAUAUUUUUUAACUUAUUUAGUACUUUAUAAGAAAUUAAAAUACUUAGGUUUUAAGAGAAGUAUAGUUAUAAAGCUAAAGCUUAAAGGAAUUAAUAGAAAAGUAUUACUAAGAGUAGAGCUUAUAAUUUGAUUUAAUUUGAUAUAGAGAAACCUAUUAAAUCUAAAUAUAAUAAAGAUUAAUAAAUUAAAAGCUCUUUUUUAAUUUCAUAAGUAGUAAUAUAUAGUUAUUAUUAGUUAGUAGAGUAAUUUAUCUACUUAAUUAUAAUAAUAUAUAAGACCUUAAUUUACUAAUUAGUUUAUAUUACUUUAAUAGUAUACUAACUUCUUAGAGGAACUAUUAAUUUAAACUAAUAGAAAUUUAAAGUAAUAAUAGGUCUAUAAUACUUUUAGAUAUUCUAAAUUAUAUAUAUAUUGUAUUAAUAAAGUUAAUAAGUACUUCUUUAAUUUAAAAGUCUAAAUAAUCUUAUUAAACUCUAUUAUAAUAAAGAUAGAGUAUUAUAAUUAUUACUCUUUAAUAAGGAAUCUAUAAUAAGUAUAAGUUAUUAACUUAUAUUAAUUAUAUCUCUAUUCCUUAUAUAUAGUACUUAUUACUACUAUUAAUUAAAUAGUUUAAUAAAGUUUUUAAACUAAUUUAAAGAAAGAAGUAAUUCUUUCCCUUAAUUAGAAAGUUAUCUAAGUUUAAUUAUUUAGAAGAAGUAAAAGUUAUAAUAAGGUCUCUACUAAUAAGCUAAUAGAGA
rnacentral:rRNA from 1 species